UACGUAGGGUCCGAGCGUUGUCCGGAAUUAUUGGGCGUAAAGGGCUCGUAGGCGGUCUGUUGCGUCGGGAGUGAAAACUUACAGCUUAACUGUGAGCGUGCUUCCGAUAGCGGGCAGACUUGAGGUAUUCAGGGGAGAACGGAAUUCCUGGAUGUAGCGGUGAAAUGACGCAGAUAUCAGGAGGAACACCGGUGGCGAAGGCGGUUCUCUGGGAAUAUCCUGACGCUGAGGAGCGAAAGUGUGGGG
rnacentral:rRNA from 1 species